UUUUACACCCCUACCUCUUAGAGUUGAGAUCUCCCGAUGUCAAAGUUGACCCACAGGGCUGUCACGGCUUUGUUACCUUUGUUGCCCUUAAAUGUUGUGAAUAGAAGAGCAGGGCAGAUGAAUAUAUAACAAAUAUCUGUACAGAAGGAACCACUCUACACGUUAGCAGUAACAGCAAAGACAAACCACCCAAAAGAUGGAAGAAAAGAUGAAGGGAUCACUGCCUGUUAUCUCCCCGGAGUAUCUUCAACAGUGGGUUCAGUCUGCACAGCAGUUUCACGCUCUCCAGGCCCAGUAUUCAGGCUUUAACCCCAAGCAUCAGUUUCACUACCCUGAAAGGCCGAUGGAAGAGACAGCA